rnacentral:tRNA from 1 species
UGGACCAGGGCCAGGGCUUCAAACGUGAUGCUGAUGAUGAUUGGGCACGUUCGAAUCCACUUUUCU